CUUCUUUUGAGGAGAAAUAAAAGAAACACCUAUUCCCAUGACUUCACAAAUUACAAAUAGAUUUAAAUGGUAGCAGUAGGCCAAGCUCAGGACCUGACAUCUAAGAUGCAAUUGAGACUUUUGCUGAUACUGACAGAGGGUCUGCCUUCGGGGAUUUCUUUUGUGUGACACCAAUUCCUUUAUCCAUAAAAGAAUAGCAGGGAAGGAAGGGAAUGCUUCACUGUAGCUUAUACAAGAGAAAACAGAAAAAAGAUAUGUGAGUACCAUUCCAGUACAGGGGUGAAUGAAAUGAAUAUACACUUAAAAUUUACCUCUUUGUGGAAUUCACAAAAUUUCCUCCCUUGGAUAGGGAGGAAAUCUAAACUAUCAUAAUGCCACCUUCUGUCAUGGCUUCACUUUCCAUUAAGACAGUGCUGCCUUACUGGGUAAAAGGAGAUCAGAAUUCACCCUCUAUUAAUCAAAACCAUUUUAGAACGUGACCCAAUAUCUGCACAGGUGAAACCAACAGUAAUAGCCUGUGCUACUUAGGCAUCUUCUCUUAUUAAUUGUGGCAGGUUUGCUGGAGAGCACAGAAUCAUAUCACAGAAUCCUCUGGGUAACAAAGCCUUGCAGCUCUGUCUGAAGCAGGGAAGAUGAGGAGGUUACAGGAGGACACAGUGAAGCCAAAGGAGGUCACUGGAUGAGUCAUUCGCACUCAGAUCUGCGAUAUCGAGGAGAACAGAAAACGUGUGUGAUAUCCGCCAGCUGGAUUCCAUCUGUCUUUUCUCUGCAGAGAUGGAGUUUCAAAGGCUACAUCCUAUCUACUGUCACACCCUCUCCCGACAUGAGAAGCUAAGUGUAAAGUUUGGCCAAACUGAUGGAAAAACAGUAUCUCUUUUGUACAUCACAACUAUUUCCCUACCUACACAAAAGUGGCAUUCUUCUUGUUCUGGCAUGCAGGAUGUAUUGUUGCACUGUAACACAACAUUUCUGUUAAAUAAAAGGAGCCUGGCCAAAAUGAUUUCAAAGAAAGUUGGUGGUGGUGUUUGGUUUUUUUUUUUUUAACUGUACUCUGUGCAUCUAUGUGUGUGUUGAUUUGUGUACUGGAGCAGGGUCAGGGGAAUUGUUACUGGAAAAUACAAGUGCUGUUUGAUUACAGUGGAGGAUAUGGCCUCAUCGCAUUU